rnacentral:rRNA from 1 species
AUGCUGAAAGCUCUAAAGCUACCCCCUGCAACUUACCAGCACAAAAUAUACCCAGGCGGAAAGAAUCGUGUAACAGUGACUAUCAUUUCAACUUUGGAAUUCCUAGAUGGUUCACUUGUCCCGAGUUCUAUACCAGGUGCAAUCUUAGAUAGCUAUGAAGAUGCAGAAGACAGUGCUGCUAUGGAGGCUAUUAGAUACAUGGAGAAUGCAUAUGGCAAAGAAAUGAGGGGCAACCACUACACCCAUGUCAAGAGGCUAGAAAAUCAAGUGACGCACCUGGUCAAAUGGUUAACUUCAUCGAAUGAGACAAUCAAGAAGCUGCGCAAAACAUGCUACUACGCUGUCAGGUAUAUGAACUCGUAUUCUGCCCAAAUAGAAAACACAACAGCUGCUCGCCACCUGAAAGUUCAGGAUAACACCAAGGGAGUUAUGAAAACAGCUCUUGCAAGCAUCGAAGGACUGACGCAAAGGCUACGCUACAUUGCUAUGAAGUUUGAGCAGCCCCUUGAAGCAACCAGAAACAGAUUCUGGUAA